AACGUACGCUGGCGGCACGCCUAACACAUGCAAGUCGAACGAAGUAGCAAUACUUAGUGGCAGACGGGUGAGUAACAUGUAGGUAUCUGCCCUUUGGCCUGGAAUAACACGAGGAAACUUGUGCUAAUACCGGAUAAGUCUUUACGGAGAAAGCUUUAUGCACCAUUGGAUGAGCCUGCACUUGAUUAGUUUGUUGGUGGGGUAAUGGCCUACCAAGACUGUGAUCAAUAGCUGAUUUGAGAGGAUGAUCAGCCACAUUGGGACUGAGACACGGCCCAAACUCCUACGGGAGGCAGCAGUGGGGAAUCUUGCACAAUGGAGGAAACUCUGAUGCAGCGAUGCCGCGUGAGUGAAGAAGGCCCUUGGGUUGUAAAGCUCUUUCGUCGGGGAAGAAAAUGACUGUACCCGAAUAAGAAGGUCCGGCUAACUUCGUGCCAGCAGCCGCGGUAAUACGAAGGGACCUAGCGUAGUUCGGAAUUACUGGGCUUAAAGAGUUCGUAGGUGGUUGAAAAAGUUAGUGGUGAAAUCCCAGAGCUUAACUCUGGAACUGCCAUUAAAACUUUUCAGCUAGAGUAUGAUAGAGGAAAGCAGAAUUUCUAGUGUAGAGGUGAAAUUCGUAGAUAUUAGAAAGAAUACCAAUUGCGAAGGCAGCUUUCUGGAUCAUUACUGACACUGAGGAACGAAAGCAUGGGUAGCGAAGAGGAUUAGAUACCCUCGUAGUCCAUGCCGUAAACGAUGUGUGUUAGACGUUGGAAAUUUAUUUUCAGUGUCGCAGGGAAACCGAUAAACACACCGCCUGGGGAGUACGACCGCAAGGUUAAAACUCAAAUGAAUUGACGGGGACCCGCACAAGUAGUGGAGCAUGUGGUUUAAUUCGAAGAUACGCGCAGAACCUUACCAACACUUGACAUGUUCGUCGCGACUCUAAGAGAUUAGAGUUUUCGGUUCGGCCGGACGAAACACAGGUGCUGCAUGGCUGUCGUCAGCUCGUGUCGUGAGAUGUUGGGUUAAGUCCCGCAACGAGCGCAACCCUCACUUUUAGUUGCCAUCAUUAAGUUGGGCACUCUGAAAGAACUGCCAGUGAUAAGCUGGAGGAAGGUGGGGAUGACGUCAAGUCCUCAUGGCCCUUACGUGUUGGGCUACACACGUGCUACAAUGGUAUCUACAACAGGAAGCAAGACUGCGAAGUUAAGCAAAUCCCUAAAAGAUACCCCAGUUCGGAUUGCACUCUGCAACUCGAGUGUAUGAAGCUGGAAUUACUAGUAAUCGUGGAUCAGCGUGCCACGGUGAAUGCGUUCCCGGGUCU
rnacentral:rRNA from 1 species